UACGAAGGGGGCUAGCGUUGCUCGGAAUGACUGGGCGUAAAGGGCGCGUAGGCGGCUUGCACCGUCAGAUGUGAAAUUCCUGGGCUUAACCUGGGGGCUGCAUUUGAUACGUGUGGGCUUGAGUGCGGAAGAGGGUCGUGGAAUUCCCAGUGUAGAGGUGAAAUUCGUAGAUAUUGGGAAGAACACCGGUGGCGAAGGCGGCGACCUGGUCCGUGACUGACGCUGAGGCGCGAAAGCGCGGGGAGCAAACAGG
rnacentral:rRNA from 1 species